rnacentral:rRNA from 1 species
GAUUGAACGCUGGCGGCAUGCCUUACACAUGCAAGUCGAACGGCAGCACGGGGGCAACCCUGGUGGCGAGUGGCGAACGGGUGAGUAAUGCAUCGGAACGUGUCCUCUUGUGGGGGAUAACCAGUCGAAAGAUUGGCUAAUACCGCAUGAGAUCGAGAGAUGAAAGCGGGGGACCCGAGGGUAACUUCGGGCCUCGCGCGAGAGGAGCGGCCGAUGCCGGAUUAGCUAGUUGGUGGGGUAAGAGCCUACCAAGGCGACGAUCCGUAGCUGGCCUGAGAGGACGACCAGCCACACUGGGACUGAGACACGGGCCCAGACUCCUACGGGAGGCAGCAGUGGGGAAUUUUGGACAAUGGGCGCAAGCCUGAUCCAG